rnacentral:lncRNA from 1 species
GUUUCUCUUUCUAGGAAAUCCGGCCGCAGUUACCAAAAGCCACUGACCCCGGAAUGCUGGCCCCAGGGAGAGAGGGUGUCAGGAAGGCCCCCUCCCUGCCAGAUGGGCCUUGGGUAUGACUCCCAGGGGUGGGGCUGCGCUGGAGGUUAUAAAACGGCUGUAGGGGGGACUACAAGCUUCGCUUUCUCUUUGGAGAAGUUUCUUUGAGCACAAACAGGAAAAUAACGGGAAGGUCCAGAGCUGGGGACGCAGUCCUGGGAUGGGGAGACCUCAGCUCUUCUGCACUGGAGCUAGGAAGGCAGCUUCUCCCACACGGGACUUCGAUCUGCAUUUAAGCAGGCACCUCUGUCCUGAGAGAGCUGCGCUCCCCGCGGUCCUUCUACGGCUCACGCUGCUGCUGAUGCCCGUGCCCUGCCUCCUGCAAACCAACCAGAUUGCGAAUCCGCCCAUCAGGAACGUAAGGAUGGAAGCAAAUACUCAGACGUUGACCUGGGACGUUGAUGGGAAUGUUACCGGUAUCGACUGCCAGAAAGGUCCAGACUAUGGAAUACAGGUGAACCCUCUCCUCUCUCUGUCUUUUUUUUUUUUUUUUUUUGAUGGGGUCUUGCUAUGUUGCCCAGGCUGGAGUGCAGUGGCUAUUAACAGGCACGAUCCCAGCACUGAUCAGCACGGGAGUUUUGACCUGCUCCGUUUCCUUCCUGACUCAGCACAGUGAGACCCCGUCUCAACAAAAAACAAAGCAACGGGCCGG